rnacentral:tRNA from 6 species
GGUCCCAUCGUCUAGAGGCCUAGGACACCGCCCUUUCAAGGCGGCGGCACGGGUUCGAAUCCCGUUGGGACCGCCA